GAUGAACGCUGGCGGCGUGCCUAAUACAUGCAAGUCGAGCGAACAGACGAGGAGCUUGCUCCUCUGACGUUAGCGGCGGACGGGUGAGUAACACGUGGAUAACCUACCUAUAAGACUGGGAUAACUUCGGGAAACCGAAGCUACACCCGGCUAGCCAUUAGACCCCCAGGGUUUACUGAUUAAAACGGGUUUGGCUUUCCUUACAGGAGGUAUCGCGCCGCAUUAGCUAGUUGGGAAGGUAACGGCUUACCAAGGCAACGAUGCGUAGCCGACCUGAGAGGGUGAUCGGCCACACUGGAACUGAGACACGGUCCAGACUCCUACGGGAGGCAGCAGUAGGGAAUCUUCCGCAAUGGGCGAAAGCCUGACGGAGCAACGCCGCGUGAGUGAAGAAGGUCUUCGGAUCGUAAAACUCUGUUAUUAGGGAAGAACAAAUGUGUAAGUAACUAUGCACGUCUUGACGGUACCUAAUCAGAAAGCCACGGCUAACUACGUG
rnacentral:rRNA from 1 species